rnacentral:lncRNA from 1 species
AAGUCUAGUAAAAUUGUUAACAAUAUAGGCUGUUAGCAAGAUUUCAGGUACACUUAUUGGAAUUACUAUCUCUUUUUGUUUGUUUCCUUUAGCUGUUCCGCAGAGGAUCAUAUCUGCUGCAGUCCUGAUAUGAUGAACAGUUAAACUGCUGAUUUGUUUUGAUACACUCGGUCUGUUUCACCUGGAACAUUACUGUUCAGAUUGGUUAGGUUGAGGUCUAUCACAAAUAUCCUACUUAAAUAAUGAGUAGGUACUCCCCCAGACCACAACUCUGGAUGGAGUUUGAACCACGGUCUUUGCCUGUUGCCAUUUGCUCUGAAUCAGUGUGUUUCUUUCCGUUUCCCUAAUCACAGCCUCUGACAGAAAAAUGAAGACC